GACAACAAUCAGGACCUCGAGAAUCCUCUCUGGAAAGUUUUGGAAGUUAUGGGGCCAAUUCCUACAGCAAUUAAAUCUUUUCUAACAUCACUUGGUUACGAUAGUUAUGUUGCAUUAAGAAGUAUAACGGAUAGUGAACUGAGUUCGUUGCCCAAGGAGAAAGGCCUGUUGCCGGGACAUGUAGCCGUUCUGCGCGGAUAUCGCGAUCUCGUUGUUAACACGAGCUGGGAAAAACUUGCUUGCCGUUCACGCCAGGUUGAGAAACAACUCGUGUCCCGCCCUGAUACACCGGAGAAUCCUCUGAAAAAAGUUGUUCUUGACGAGAAAAUAGAAGAAGAACUUCUGGAGAAGUUCAGGGCCCGGUUGGCUCAAUGGGUCAAGGUAGAUGGGAAUGAGUCGCAUAAAUUUGUGCAAAAAAAUGACUUCCAAUUGCGCAUCAUUUCCACGGAACACGAGCGAAAAGUCGGGGUAAUCUGUCCGUUUUGCAAAUCGUUGAUAAUGCUUUUCUACACCAUAACCAGCAAAACAUCCUUUAAAGUAGUGAUUGCAAACUUUAUCAAACACUAUCAUACACAACACCCAGCGUCCAAUCUAACGGGUUCAAAAACAAAGCAAACCAGCUUGCUAGACAUGAUUAAGCCCUCGAGCUCGAAGCGUAAAGCUGAUUUCGAUGAUGAACGGGGCGAACGUGCAUCUAAAGUUCUUGUUGUAGAGAUCGAGAGUACCGGUGACCAAAACGGACAAAAAAGAGAUAUGAUCGACAUGGUUGAGGAAGAGGAAUGGAUCGACGAAGAAGUUAAUUCAGGUAGUUUUUAAAUUGCAGAUAAGAAACUAUAAAUCGGAUGUAGUUUUAAGCAGGAACAUUCUUAAAUAGUACGGACAGGCUAGUCGUAUCGUAAACAAAUGAUGUUUUGUUGCAUCGUUUUUUGAAUUUUAUUUUGAGUUGCUGACCCUAAAACAUAGUUCAUUGUUAUUUUGUAGUACACUUGUUGCUUAGUUGUAAAAAUGAAGGAGAAAGGUAGAAGGUUACUUAAAUUCGUUGAGGCCAAUAAAAGUGAUAUUGCAAUAA